ensembl:lncRNA
GAAAUACUUAUGGAAUUUUAGACAGGCGUGCCAGGAAGGACAACAGCUUCUAAUUUUGAGACAGAUUGAACAAUUGGAAAGUAUGAUCAGCUUUAGAAAAUUAAAAUGGAAAAUUAUCAGAACGGAAGAAUGAACCAUUUUCAUCCAUGACUUCACAUGGACUGUUUGAGUAUAGAGCCAGGUGAAACUGAAUUGUGAAUGAAAGUAUCUAGACUGAAGCUUAAAAGAUCAGAUACUUCACCCAGGAAACAUUGUUUUUUCAAAUCUAGAAAUGAAAAUUAUAUUUAUAUCAGGUAGCAGCUGAAGAUAUCAUCUUAAAGGAGAACACUUGAAAUGCCUUGAUGAAAUUUGUCAAAAGUUUAGCCAAAUGGAAAUUUUUUAUUUGGCUUAAACACUUAACUGAUGAAACAACUUUUCCGCAACAUCUAAAUCCCAGAUGAGACUUUUAAAUCCAAGUAAGUUUGAAGCCACUUGAACUUUUCUAAGAUUCACUCCAGCAGCUUAUUUGCACUGAACACAGAAGUCUGAGGCAAGAAUGAGAAGAGACUAAAACGCAC